rnacentral:rRNA from 1 species
AUGAACGCUGGCGGCGUGCCUAAUACAUGCAAGUCGAGCGCACGGACGAGAAGCUUGCUUCUCUGAUGUUAGCGGCGGACGGGUGAGUAACACGUGGAUAACCUACCUAUAAGACUGGGAUAACUUCGGGAAACCGUAGCUAAUACCGGAUAAUAUUUUGAACCGCAUGGUUCAAAAGUGAAAGACGGUCUUGCUGUCACUUAUAGAUGGAUCCGCGCUGCAUUAGCUAGUUGGUAAGGUAACGGCUUACCAAGGCAACGAUGCAUAGCCGACCUGAGAGGGUGAUCGGCCACACUGGAACUGAGACACGGUCCAGACUCCUACGGGAGGCAGCAGUAGGGAAUCUUCCGCAAUGGGCGAAAGCCUGACGGAGCAACGCCGCGUGAGUGAUGAAGGUCUUCGGAUCGUAAAACUCUGUUAUUAGGGAAGAACAUAUGUGUAAGUAACUGUGCACAUCUUGACGGUACCUAAUCAGAAAGCCACGGCCAACUACGUG